UCCCUGGUGGUUCAAUGGCUAAGACUCCAUGCUCCCAGUGCAGGAGGCCCCAGGUUCGAUCCCUGGUCAGGGAA
rnacentral:tRNA from 1 species